GGGGAUUUAGCUCAGCGGUAGAGCGCUUGCCUAGCAAGCGCACUGGGUUCGGUCCCCAGCUCCG
rnacentral:tRNA from 1 species